rnacentral:rRNA from 1 species
UCCAGACUCCUACGGGAGGCAGCAGUGGGGAAUAUUGCACAAUGGGGGGAACCCUGAUGCAGCGACGCCGCGUGAGUGAAGAAGUCAUUCGUGAUGUAAAGCUCUCUCAGCAGGGAAGAAAAUGACGGUACCUGACUAAGAAGCCCCGGCUAACUACGUGCCAGCAGCCGCGGUAAUACGUAGGGGGCAAGCGUUAUCCGGAUUUACUGGGUGUAAAGGGAGCGUAGACGGCAGCGCAAGUCCGAAGUGAAAGCCCGGGGCCCAACCCCGGGACUGCUUUGGAAACUGUGAAGCUGGAGUGCGGGAGGGGCAGGCGGAAUUCCUGGUGUAGCGGUGAAAUGCGUAGAUAUCAGGAGGAACACCGGCGGCGAAGGCGGCCUGCUGGACCGUAACUGACGUUGAGGCUCGAAAGCGUGGGGAGCAAACAGGAUUAGAUACCCCCGUAC